UGCGCAGGCGGUUUGUUAAGACAGAUGUGAAAUCCCCGGGCUUAACCUGGGAACUGCAUUUGUGACUGGCAAGCUAGAGUAUGGCAGAGGGGGGUAGAAUUCCACGUGUAGCAGUGAAAUGCGUAGAGAUGUGGAGGAAUACCGAUGGCGAAGGCAGCCCCCUGGGCCAAUACUGACGCUCAUGCACGAAAGCGUGGGGAGCAAACAGGAUUAGAUACCCUGGUAGUCCACGCCCUAAACGAUGUCAACUAGUUGUUGGGGAUUCAUUUCCUUAGUAACGUAGCUAACGCGUGAAGUUGACCGCCUGGGGAGUACGGUCGCAAGAUUAAA
rnacentral:rRNA from 1 species